rnacentral:rRNA from 1 species
AUUGAACGCUGGCGGCAUGCUUUACACAUGCAAGCCGAACGGUAACAGGUUAAGCUGACGAGUGGCGAACGGGUGAGUAAUGCAUCGGAACGUGCCCGGUCGUGGGGGAUAACGCAGCGAAAGCUGCGCUAAUACCGCAUACGAUCUAAGGAUGAAAGCGGGGGACCGUAAGGCCUCGCGCGAUCGGAGCAGCCGAUGUCAGAUUAGGUAGUUGGUGGGGUAAAGGCUCACCAAGCCAACGAUCUGUAGCUGGUCUGAGAGGACGACCAGCCACACUGGGACUGAGACACGGCCCAGACUCCUACGGGAGGCAGCAGUGGGGAAUUUUGGACAAUGGGCGAAAGCCUGAUCCAGCAAUGCCGCGUGCAGGAAGAAGGCCUUCGGGUUGUAAACUGCUUUUGUACGGAGCGAAAAGGUCUCCUCUAAUACAGGGGGCUCAUGACGGUACCGUAAGAAUAAGCACCGGCUAACUACGUGCCAGCCGCCGCGGUAA